AUGAUGUCUUCCAUCGAGCAGAGCUGCACCUGCCGUGGAUGUAUAUAUCAUUUUAUUUACACGCUGUUUCUCGAGAUGUCCGCGUCCACAGAUGUUGAGAGCCAGUCGCCCGCCGCGCGCUCCCGCAGCCGGUGUCUGGACACCUUCCUCACCGUGUCCGUGAUCGCGCUCUUCCUCAUGUUUAUGGUCGCGCUCGCGGGCGCGCUGUACUUCGCCAAACACGUCGAGGACGAGAUAAACAAGCGGACGACGCGACGCUUGGACGGAUCUGCGGACGCGUUGGUUGCGCCGUUUCCCGAGACCGGAAACGCAUAUAAGAUGCAGAAUUUUGCCUACCUGAGGGCCACUGAAAGUAAACUCAAAUCAGGUGUGAUGGCGUGGGAAUCUAUCGCGUAUGGAAGCGGUCAAACCAUCGGCUCUCUCUACAGCUUUGAUCAAAAACAGAAUGUGCUGAACGUGAAUGAGAGUGGAAGCUACUUCCUGUAUGUCCAGCUCACUUUUUCCUGCACUGGAAUAUGUCCAUCUGACCAGUUCACGGUCAGCUUUUAUAAUCAGCGCAAUAGCGUGGAGCUCACCUGCACCGUCUCACUGCCUAAAUGGAGCGAAGAAACACCCAUUAGCAAGACGUGUUGGCGUGUCGUUACCUUUCCGGAAGAUGGAAACCGCCUUGUAGCCAAAUCCCAGUUUAAAGAAACACUAGACUGGAAACUGGAGAUGAAUGACUCUGGCUUUGGGAUGUUUCUGGUGGACGGAUUACGAGCGGUACAUCACACAUGAUCACGAGGGGCCCGACCGAUCUGCUUUUGGGCUGCUCGUCUGAGUCACGUCACUGUGAUCUACUCAGUACUGUUUCUAAUGCACUGAUGAGCAGGACUCCUCUAAUGUCCGCAGACUGUCUUGGCUAAUCUGGCAAUGCCUUCAACUACCAGAAAGAGUGACUCUUUAAAAUUUUAGCCACAAUAUUUAAAUACUUUCUGCCAAAUACUGCAGGUUUGCCUUUACAACAAAAGCUCAGAAAAUGCAAUGACGUCUACAGGCUUUGUCUGGACUUGAACAGAUAAGCAAUGCUUCUUAAGCACUAUUUAUAAUUUAAAUAUAUUUAUAUGCGUUUUAACAUUUUAAACAUUUGCAAUAUUUAUAUUCGUAUUUUGUGUAUACUGUACAUAGUGUGUUUUAAAACCGUUGUAGACAUCACUACGUGUGCGAGGCAUCUGACCGAACCCUUUCCUUCACUGAUUGCAUGUACUGUAUUAUUCUACUGAUGUUUAGUUACAUCACAGAAAUGAUGAGUGAACUUUGACCCGCACAUCAACACUAGUGCCUCGGUUGGGUCUUUACGUUUGGCUGUAUGUUGAAGAACUCAAAAAGCUGCAUGUCUUCACGAACACGCGCUUGUGUUGUGCGUCUGGUGUGAAGGAAAGCACCGUAUGAAUGCUAACAAACUCAGGAACUCUUGAGAUGAAUGUAACGAUGAUGACUGACCGUGUGUGAAAUGCUUUAUUUUGUUAACUGAGAAUAUUUAAUAAAAUACAAAAUGUUAAUUUUACAUAACUGUGGGCUGUUUGUUGGGGCGAGAGAGCGAGGUGAUGAUAACUCUCCUCAGCAUUCGUUUAUGCUCGUGUUGCAGCUCAGAACUUGAUCUGAGUUCACAAUUGUUUCAUUUAAGCAUCCCCAAACUGGAUCUCGGGUAAAAAAUAAAACAUUAGAACAGACACAAAUGAGUCGGAAGUUGUCAUCUGGUUAUAGUUACAAAGUUAUAGAGCUAUAAAAUGAAGGAGCAGAACCAUUCAGAUCAUUGGAUGAGAAAUGUUUGAGCUCAUAUUGAGACUUUUGGGAUUUCCUGGUGUUAAAAUCUCAUUUGAAGAGAUGUGAGAGCUUAAAGGGGGACAGAAAUCUCCAUUACAUUGCGUUCAUGUCUGUGAGAACCAGUUGAGAUGGUGAUGGUAUCUCAUAUGUAACUUUCUUUCCUGUGGUGAGGUCUGAUCAGACCCCAUGGGAGGAAAGUUUUGCUCUGUAUGCAGGCCACCUCGCUUGCGUCACUUUCUGUCAGAGGUGCGAGAACAGGUUUCGGUCCUCACCGCAUGCUGACACAUCCGCACAAACUCGACAAACAAACAAACAGCCUGAGUUUGCUUGAAACCUAAUAUUGUCAGCAGAUGCUGUAAAAGAAGCAAAUAAACAGAGACGUUUCAGAGACGACACAAUGCAUGCCUGUUGAGUUUCUUCCAAGUGAAG
ensembl:lncRNA